GGCUUUCCUCCACCUGGGCUUUGAAAAGAACAGUGGCCCCCUUGUCUUGGCUUUUGUCUUCUGUGAGAGCCCAUGAGUGUGGCAGCGUGGUGGGGUGGACAGAGCUUGGGCUUUGCAGCCAGCGUUGGGUCAGUCCCUGCUCUCUGACUCACGAGAGAUUUGAGGGCCUUUGACUUGAGCUCGGUUCUCCUAGAGGCAGGCCUGAGACAAAGAUGGGAGAGCAAGUAGCUCCACUGGACAAGAUCACGGAAAACUCCAGGAGGAGAGUCGAGAGGAGACAUGGGAAAUAGAAGGAAGAAAAGCAACCCAGGGAACUGUAAUGAGUAGCCAGAACUGACUGAGACAGGAAGGGACCCCCAGUGCUUACAGUAAGGAGCCAUCAGAAAUGGAAUUCCAUCUGAGGCACAAAUUAUUGGCUGGAAGAAGGGGAGGCCAUUCUUAAGGACAGGCCCAAGCAUUUGCAAUGCUGCUGGUAAAGCGCAGUGGAGCAGCUGUCCUGAGAGAGCUGAGCCCUGGGGGCCACUGGCCACAGUGGGGGUUAGGGGGGAUACUGCAGGGCCUGGGGCUGAGCCUGGGGCUGGACCUCGGGCUGGAGCCCUGCUGAGGCCAGAGAAGAGUCCAGGAGUCUUGGCCAGGAGGAAGAUUUAAGGGAGGCAAUUGAGAGGGGAGCUGGGAACCAGCUCUGUUCUCAGUGUGGAAGCUGGGAAGGACAUCUGGAAUCAUCUGGUACAAGACCACAUCAGGUGAAAAAACUGAAACACAGAGCAAGUUGGUGGCAGCCCCAAGUUCACAGAGAGUGGAGCUGAACAAGAAGCCAGGUCUCGUGACCCCAAUCCAAUGCCACAUCUACCACCAGAACUACCGCAGUCUCUUUUCUCCUGUAAAUAAGCCUGAAGAUGUGGAGACCUCUUCAUUGGAAAAUGAGGAUGAUGCCAACUCAGAGAAAAGCAAAACACAGAGAGUGAUUUCAAUUGACACCUUUUUGAGCACCUGGAUCCAGCUGUGCCUGAAGCAGGUGAUACAUGGACUUUUAAAUUACAGGAGCAAGCACUGUGCUUAUCAUAGAUAUUCAAGAAUCCAGGUUGAUGGAGCAGCUGCCAUCUCUAAUGUUGCUGGCCACCAUGACAGAGGAAAACAGAAUCUAGAAAAAGCUACACUGGCUCUUAAAGCUUCUGUCCAGGAUGGAUACAGGUUGCUUCUACUCACGUUUCAUUGGCCAAAACAAGUCACGUGGCCAAGCUUAACUUCAAAGGGAAGAAAGGGCAAUCCUGCUGUGUUCCCGGAAGGAAGCGCCCCGUUGACCCCACGUUGUCAUGGUUAUUUUGUAACUGGUUGA
ensembl:lncRNA